UUCGGUCGAUUUGGGAGAACUAAAACAUCUGAGGGCAAUGGGAGUCCUGGAAGAAGACGAGGCCCUUCUGUACUGCCUCCAGCCUGGAGGGCCCUCUGAAGAAAAACUAACCUCAGAAAGAAAGACAAGUGGUUGGAAAAGGGAGGUGUCUCAAUAACCUUUUCUGAUGAUUGUGGAUAACUGCACCAAAACUCAGACAACUGGUUAUAACUAAAGCUAAGGUCUGAGAUGAAGUUCUUCUCUUUACGUUUUCACUGAAUAUUUGCCCAAGGAAUAACAGAAGUGAGUUCUGUCCAAAGCAAAGUCUCCAUGUAAUUAAUCUUCAAGGUCGUGAGGCCUGCUGAAUUCCUGCUUGGUCCAGCUUCAUCUCCUCAGGCAGCGGCAACAGCUGCGGGUCCACCCUCUUGAGCUUGUGACAUUGUGUGGAUGCGAAUGCAGCUGUCCGCUGUUUAUCCCUUGGUCUUCGCCACACGAUCAGCCACCUUCUCUGACUGUACAUUUCUCUGAAGACAUCCUUCAUGCUGCAUCUCUUGUAGAAUUCUUGGCUGGUAAUGUAUUGCAGCUUACUCAUGCCCACUAGGUACUUUUCCAUUGUCCUCUGAGUGACCCUCAAGCGCAGUCUCUCUGAAUCUGUGAUAUUCUAUGACUCUUAGCAUCACAGGACAAAUACUGUUAACAAAAGAAAGCCUAUUGUUUCAGGGAGAAGCUGAAGUCAUCUUUCUAAAACAUAUGUCCGACCACGUCACUCCACUACUCAAGAAUUUUUGGUCGCUUCCUUUUGCUUCUAGGAUAAACUACAAAUUGUUUAGCUUGGCAUUUAAGCCCUUUCACAACCUGGCUCUAACCUACCUUUUCCACAAAUAACAUGUUACUUCACAGUCAA